rnacentral:rRNA from 1 species
GAUGAACGCUGGCGGCGUGCCUAAUACAUGCAAGUCGAGCGAACGGACGAGAAGCUUGCUUCUCUGAUGUUAGCGGCGGACGGGUGAGUAACACGUGGAUAACCUACCUAUAAGACUGGGAUAACUUCGGGAAACCGGAGCUAAUACCGGAUAAUAUUUUGAACCGCAUGGUUCAAAAGUGAAAGACGGUCUUGCUGCUACUUAUAGAUGGAUCCGCGCUGCAUUAGCUAGUUGGUAAGGUAACGGCUUACCAAGGCAACGAUGCAUAGCCGACCUGAGAGGGUGAUCGGCCACACUGGAACUGGGACACGGUCCAGACUCCUACGGGAGGCAGCAGUAGGGAAUCUUCCGCAAUGGGCGAAAGCCUGACGGAGCAACGCCGCGUGAGUGAUGAAGGUCUUCGGAUCGUAAAACUCUGUUAUUAGGGAAGAACAUAUGUGUAAGUAACUGUGCACAUCUUGACGGUACCUAAUCAGAAAGCCACGGCUAACUACGUG